UUUCCGUGUUAAAAAAGUGAUUGUCAGGUGAGGUGAAGCUGAGAACUUUUUUUUUUUGGGCUGGAAAAUUAAACAAGAGCCCAGCUUUCCAAUAGUGAGAAUGGGGUUUUAGAGCUUCUUCCCUGUGACUUGGCUCCCAGGAGGAGCAAAGGGGAGUUUAACUGCCUGGAACACAGGCAUGGCACCUACUCUCCCUCCUUUGCCUUGCUAAGCAAUCAGUGCCCUUCCUGAAAGGGUUGCUGUAAUCAACUGAGAGCCCACGAUGCAUAGCAUUGGAGUACAAAGUUUCUUCAUCAGGUCCCAUUGGGUCAAUUUUGGUCACAGGAAGUAACAAGAAAAGCAAUAAAACUUCAUACUCCUUGUUGGAUU
rnacentral:lncRNA from 10 species